CUGCUGAUAGCGUCGGUGCUGGGCGCGUCAGAGACAUCGCCGCUCGGCCGCAUUCGCGUGAAAUGCUCGCAGCCGUCCCACCAGAUUCAGAAGCACGACAUCGCUACCCACGCCGGCGGGCUGAUCUCGCAGCAAUCUUAUUCUCCGAAGUGCGCACUACGAUUGACGUUGGUCGAGGCGAGCGAAAGUUGAAUCGUCCACCAAGGGAUAUUCGUGUGUCGCGUAGCAAACCGACCAAGAAAUAUGUACCACAGUCCGAUCAAUCAGGCGCAACUUCGCUCGGCGGCCACUCACCGUCAGCCCUUAUACCCGCCGCCACUCGUCGGCCACGACAUCAGCUACGGUGAACACGAAUCCGGUCAAGCCACUCCGGCGCUUCUCCAGUACACCGGAGUACUAUCCUGACCCAGAACUACGAACCGGCGUCAAUGCGAUCGUGGCCAUCAAAUACAUCUACGGACGCGGCGAAACGUUCUUUCAUGAGAUACCACACUUGCGAUUGCGAUCGAAGAAUAAUCAGGUGAGACGGGAGAAUUGCUCGAGUGGCAACAUCCUCGGCAGUUUGAGACCUGAUUAGGCGUGGUUCCGCA